CGGGUGAGUAAUGUAUGGGGAUCUGCCUGAUGGCGGGGGAUAACUACUGGAAACGGUAGCUAAUACCGCAUAAUGUCUGCGGACCAAAGCGGGGGGACCUCCGGGCCUCGCGCCAUCAGAUGAACCCAUAUGGGAUUAGCUUGUAGGUAAGGUAACGGCUUACCUAGGCGACGAUCCCUAGCUGGUCUGAGAGGAUGAUCAGCCACACUGGGACUGAGACACGGCCCAG
rnacentral:rRNA from 1 species